AGUGAACGCUGGCGGUAGGCCUAACACAUGCAAGUCGAACGGCAGCACAGUAAGAGCUUGCUCUUACGGUUGGCGAGUGGCGGACGGGUGAGGAAUACAUCGGAAUCUACUUUUUCGUGGGGGAUAACGUAGGGAAACUUACGCUAAUACCGCAUACGACCUACGGGUGAAAGAAGGGGAUCUUCGGAACUUGCGCGAUUGAAUGAGCCGAUGUCGGAUUAGCUAGUUGGAGGGGUAAAGGCCCACCAAGGCGACGAUCCGUAGCUGGUCUGAGAGGAUGAUCAGCCACACUGGAACUGAGACACGGUCCAGACUCCUACGGGAGGCAGAAGUGGGGAAUAUUGGACAAUGGGCGCAAGCCUGAUCCAGCCAUACCGCGGGGGUGAAGAAGGCCUUCGGGUUGUAAAGCCCUUUUGUUGGGAAAGAAAAGCAGCAGGUUAAGACCCCGCUGUUCUGACGGUACCAACAGAAUAAGCACCGGCUAACUUCGU
rnacentral:rRNA from 1 species